GACGAACGCUGGCGGCGUGCUUAACACAUGCAAGUCGAACGGUGAAGCGCCUUCCUUUUUGGUGGGUGUGGAUGAGUGGCGAACGGGUGAGUAACACGUGAGUAACCUGCCCCCUUCUUCUGGAUAACCGCAUGAAAGUGUGGCUAAUACGGGAUAUUCUGGGUCUGUCGCAUGAUGGGUCUGGGAAAGAUAUUGUUUCGGUGGGGGAUCGGCUCGCGGCCUAUCAGCUUGUUGGUGGGGUGAUGGCCUACCAAGGCGGUGACGGGUAGCCGGCCUGAGAGGGGGGGAGGGUAACACGGGAAUGGGGCACCGGCCAGGAUCCCACGGGAGGGCGCAGGGGGGAAUAUUGCACAAUGGGCGCAAGCCUGAUGCAGCGACGCCGCGUGAGGGAUGGAGGCCUUCGGGUUGUGAACCUCUUUCGCCAGUGAAGCAGGCCUGCCUCGUUUGUGGGUGGGUUGACGGUAGCUGGAGAAGAAGCGCCGGCUAACUACGUG
rnacentral:rRNA from 1 species